CUGCUGAAAGCAUCCUGAGUGACACAAACUUGAAGCAUGCAAGAGGACUAAAUAACUUCCAAAGUCACACAUAUUGCAUGUCAAGAGCCAGCUUCAAACUCAAGUCCCUGUGACCAGAGGUCGAUGCUCUAAACACAUUUCUGCAUGACCUGCUUGUGGCAGCCUGGAGAAAUUCUACAUAAAUCUUCUCAGAUUCCAGAGGCUGCGAGGUCUGAGAUCAAGGAUCUGACACCUGGUGAGGGCCUUUUUGCUGCAUCAUUUCACAUAGAGACAAAAAGAUUCUCACCUGUAAGCUUGAAUUAUGUCUACAUCAUGCUUGGGAAAUGUCCAUAUAUUCUAAGCUUGAAACUGCAGUGAUGAGGACGUCACCACUUCCAGAGAGAACACUUUACUACCAGGCAACUUGAGUACAAUAGGCAGCCACAAAUAUCAUCCUUGCUAGCCAGGAAUGACAAGGAGCAAGCCACAUGAGGAGUCAGAAAAGAUUAUUCCAGGCAGGGCUGAGAUCUGCAUUAUGGUCUGGAGGCUGCCCCAGUCUCUCCUUUACCUCCAUAUUUUUCUCACAGUUCUGGAGACUUUAAGACCAA
rnacentral:lncRNA from 10 species